CCUACGGGAGGCAGCAGUAGGGAAUCUUCGGCAAUGGACGAAAGUCUGACCGAGCAACGCCGCGUGAGUGAAGAAGGUUUUCGGAUCGUAAAACUCUGUUGUUAGAGAAGAACAAGGACGUUAGUAACUGAACGUCCCCUGACGGUAUCUAACCAGAAAGCCACGGCUAACUACGUGCCAGCAGCCGCGGUAAUACGUAGGUGGCAAGCGUUGUCCGGAUUUAUUGGGCGUAAAGCGAGCGCAGGCGGUUUCUUAAGUCUGAUGUGAAAGCCCCCGGCUCAACCGGGGAGGGUCAUUGGAAACUG
rnacentral:rRNA from 1 species